ensembl:piRNA 21ur-14405 ncRNA
UUCAGUCUCAUAAAGUCAUCA